AAAAAAUGCUUUGAGAUGCUGAUUUGGGAUGCUGUCUCACGGCAGAUAGUCGUUACCUGUAUACUACUAACUCAGUUGGAAGAGGAGUAAGCAAAUUGGGGUCUGGAUUACGUGAUACUCUCAGAUGUGCCAGGUGGUGCCAGUGCCAGCUAAUCACCUCCCUGUUGGCAGCACCGUGAACACUGUGCACCUGUCUUCAGAUGGCACUUAAAGCAGAGAAGCCUGCUGUGUGGCUGUGGGAGUCAUCAGAGAGGUGGCAGUGGAGGUUUGUUAUCGACCCAAUCAUUACAUCGCUACCCAAGCGUUAGCUCUGUUCAACGCCCUUGUGGAGUCCAGGACUUAGAGAGAGGAUCUCCAAGCAGAAGCCCCCAGCCCACGUGAGAACAGGGAGACCCUUGUGCCCUUAACUGUUUUCCAUAGUACUGCCCAGCCUUGUACACUCUGGCCCAAAUGUUCCUCACCUUUGGAAGACACAGAACUUCUUUCAAAACCAUUGAAAUAUCGAGAUCAUUUCCGCAGAAAGAAAAUGUAAUUUAAGUUGAUUUUGGCAUCUGAGGAGGUGUAUGAUCUCUACAAUAAGAACUGCAAAAACACUGCUCAAAGAAAUCAGAGAUGAUACAAACAGUGAAAAAAUAUCCCAUGCUCAUGGAUAGGAAGAAGCAAUAUUAUUUAAAUGGCCAUGCUACUCAAAGCAAUUUACAGAUUCAGUGCUAUCCCUAUCAAACUACCAAUGACAUUCUUCACGGAAUUAGAAAAAACUAUUUUAAAAUUCAUACAGAACCAUAAAAGCCCAAAUAGCCAAGGCAAUCAAUUCUAAGCAAAAAGAACAAAACUUGGAGGCAUCAAUUUAUGUGACUUGAAACUACACUACAGGGCUACCGUAACCAAAACAGCCUGGUACUGGUACAAAAGCAUACACAUAGACCAACAGAACAGAAUAGAGAGCCUAGAAAUAAUGCCACACACCUGUAAUCAUCUGAUCUUUGACAAAGUUGACAAAAGCAAUGGGGAAAGGACUCCCUAUUCAAUAAAUGGUGCUGGGAUAACUGGGUAGCCACAUGCAAAAGAUUGAAACUGGACCCCUUCCUUACACCAUAUACAAAUAUCAACUCAAGAUGAAUUAAAGAAUUAAAUGUGAAACCUCAAACUAUAAAAAUCCUUCAAUAUAACCUAGGAAUUAGCAUUUUUGACAUAGGCCCCAGCAAAGAUACUUUCUUCUUAAUACCUAGGAAGUGCCCAUUUACAAAAAUAAUGUCCUUCUUUGCUGACUUUGAAAAUAUACUCGGAUAAAACAGAGUAGGUCUUAUUAAUUGCAUAUGUUCACAUUUCAAAAUGUAAGUAGCCUUAUGUAAACCCCUAAAUAGCUAGUGACAUGAAUUUUUCAUUUCUUACAUGUGAAUAAACUUAAGCUGUACAUAGUUAAGAAGGCUUGGAACAAUUCAUAGAGAUUAUGACCUGUGAAGAACUGGCCAUCCAGAUAGGUCCCCACCACAUGCCACUGACCUUAUCUCCACCAUCACUGACUUCUUUUUAUGUUUAGAGGAUCCAGAUGCUCAGUGUCAUCUUCGAAGAUGCCAGGUCACAUUGGCAAAGGCCGCAAGAACUGAUAUGAAAAACCAGAUGCAAUGAAAACCGUAACUGUACAUGAGACAGAACUGCCCAAGGUCAAGCUGGGGCAUUCUGUGUGAAGAGGAAGAUGCCUUGGCAGAAGAUCACUUCAUCAUGACCAGGGCAUCAGAAGAAGGGGUCGCAGAAUUUAUUCAUGAUUCAAUAAGUAUGCACCACCUGUCUGGAAGUGAGUUAGCAUAAAACAUAAGUUCAGUAAGAAUACAAGAAUGAGUGAGUGAAUUAAGAAAUGAAUGGAUUGGGAGUUACCAUUGGCCACACACCGCUUAGACAGUAGAAUAUCUCAGCCAGGUAGAAAGAAUGGAUCAUGGUGGCCCAGCAAAGCAUGUACUUCCUGGGGCAGAUUGUGGCAUCAUUAUCUCCAACAUCUCUGACAAUUUCUGUUUCAAGUUAAGGGCUGGUCAGCUUCUAUUCUUAGAAACACUUUCUUUACACAUGUCAGUAAAUCAAAUCUUGUCUUUAGAGACAAUCCAUCUUGUUAAACUAACUUUGUUUGGGUCUACCCUGACCCUGUUUGUGCCACCCCUGCCCCCAUACAUAUAAUCAGUUUUGUCUGUAGUUAUAAUUUGUCCAUAAUUUGGAAAAGAGAAGCCUAAAAAAGUUCACUCUAGACACUUUCAGCUAGGAACAAACUUAUAUGUGAAAAUAAUUAAAAUGUGGGGAGUGAAGGUUUAUAGUGGAACUAUUUACAGACCCUCAAACACUGCACAACAGUUGAAACUUUGCUGUAGUGACUUCAUUCUCUUAGUUGUCAAUCUGUUUUUCUUCUACAUUUCUUCCACAUACUUCUGGUAUAUUUUUAAUAAAGAUUUUUCAAAAAGAUAAAUAUGGCUUAUAUUUUCCCAGCUCAAAAUUCCCCUGAAGGCCUCCGAAGCAGUAAAUAGUAGUGCUU
rnacentral:lncRNA from 10 species